CCUUCUCAACAAAAAUAGUGGUAUCUCUCUACUCUUUCUCUAUCUUCUCUCCCUUUCUCUCUCUAGACAUAGCCGCCAGCGGAUGCAAUUACCAGUCGGCUGGCAACCUCGGCACCACCAGUGUCGCUUCACAUUCGCCAACACCCUCCUCAUCGAACCAUCCCAAUGCCUCGACCGACGAGCUGCCGACCAGCGUAGACCCAUUCCCUUCUUUUCUCUCUCCAAUCCCUCUCUUCCACAGAACUACAAGCUCUACACCACCACCGACAACCUGCCGUUGGUGGAAAACAAAUACUAUACCACUCUUCUCCCUCCAUCCACCGUCCAAACAGAGAUAACAAAUACUAUACCACUCAGUUUUUGGGUUCGUGCACAAAAUAACAACAUUUGAGAAGACUGCAGGAUUGCAGGUAUUUAUGCUUCAGAAGAUGGGUUUAUGCAAAUUUGAUCAGUGUCAAUAGGCUUGUUGACCUUCUAAUUAGCUGACAAUUCCUCGCCUCCUUGAGCCCUCUUCAGGCUCUUGUGCAAUUUACUGAUGCAGAAACUGCUACUUCAACAAAGGAUGCCUUGGAUGGAAGAAGCAUUCCCAGAAUCAAGCAAUUUAGUACAAGCGGCCUCUUGUGGUGGAGAGGUCUUGCUCGAUUGUUGGAAGUUAAAGGAUUUGUUAAAUGAGUUGAACGCCCAUCUCAAGAAGACAACCAAGAGGAUGAAAGCGAUGAUGACUCUGACGACGUGAAUGAAAGUGAUUCUAAUCUUGAUAAUGUGGAUGAAAAUGAUUCUGACCUUGAUGGUUGGUAGUUUUAUUGAGGAUUCAAGUUUGAAAUAUUUUCUUUUGGACCAUUUAAGAAUCAUACAUUAUUGAUGUGGAUGUUUUAAAUUAUUUUUUUUUGUUAGCUGUAAUGAUUUACAUUAGACUUGUAUUGAAUGAUGUCUUUGAGAAUUAUUGAAGGUUUUGAAUAGAUUUUUGAUUAAUUGUGAAA